AGAUAACCUUGGUUAAUAAAUGGUCAGACACGUCACUGGCUUUAAAAUAUAAACCCCAUUGAUGCAAAAAGAUGCUGCAUGGAAUGACAAUGUGGUUUGGAACAGACUUGGUGAAGAACAUGGAAACAUCUCUUAAUAAAAUGGCCCCAAACAUCAUCAGGAGUGCAAAAGAAGGAAGUAAAAAACAUCUCUACGCCAAUCUCAUUGGAGAGGAAACCACAGAAAGUCUGGUGAGGAAUGCUGCACUUAUGUUAUUGCAAGCAUUAUUUCAAGAAAAUCCCAGCUUCCUUUACUGUGUAAAUAGUGAACCCAAAGGUCCCACACCAACCAUAGUGUUCAACGGCUCUCCUGAUCUUUUCAAAUCUGAAUGUAUCAACUUUAUAAUGGACAAUGUGAACUUAAUAUGUGGAAGACAUUGACAUCACAGGCUGUGGAAUGAUUGUGUCACAGGUCGGAGAAGCGGACCAGAGAAGCGGACCGCCCCUGUCUCGAGGAGGUCCCAAAGCACCCCAAUGACCAGACAAACCAGAGAUAAGUAAAAUAUAGAAAUAGAAACUUUAUUUAAAUUAUUUAAAACUAAAGUGGGGAAUGGGAAAGGGAAUCUAAAAAUCUCGCUUCUCGUCCUCAGGGGGAUUAUUACGGGGCCAGGGACGUUGGAGGGGUUUCCAUGUGACUCCAGCUGGAACACCGCUACAAAGCGUAUCUGGGUGGGUUGGGCACACACCGUCGCGGCGGCCCCUGAUGGCAUCCACAAAGGUCCAAGACCCUCCUAAGCUCCUAGCCGUAGCAGAACUACGUAUUUCAGCACCCGAAGGACUAACAACCCAGCCGGCAUCUGCAGCAUAUAUCCAACGCGAUCAAACUUCACUCUGACAAGUAACUUCCUAUACACAACCACGCCGUCCUUUCGCCCGGACCAGCCCCGCACUCUUUCCGCCCGCUACCUAGCGGUGGCCGGAUCAGCAGAGCCUGCGGACUCUUCAGAGGCUGGUCUUCGUUGUACUGACCAAGGCGGAAGUUGACUCGCCCGAAAAUCGACCCUUCUGGUAACUUCUACCUUCUCUCUUUAUAUCCUCCUCCAUGGCGUGGCUCGCCCAACCAUCGCUCGCCACGUCACUCACACAGCUGUGCCUUGUUUCAGCAAAUGCGGGGAUUCCCGGGGAACCCGGAAGUGCCGGUGUCUGUACAAACCGGUCCGGGCGGAACCUCUUCACUCUCCUUUUGGUUCCGCCCCGCAUAGUCACUCCGUGACAACUGUUUGCGUUUUUUUUUCUCCUCAAUGUUCAAUACCCUUUUGCCAUUAAGCACACAGUGACUUUAAUUUAUAAAAUAUAUGCUUAAGUUUUAAUACCUGUACAAAACAAAUGUACAAUCAACUUGUGUAAAUUGUCAUUC